GACGAACGCUGGCGGCGUGCUUAACACAUGCAAGUCGAACGGUAAGGCCCCUCGAGGUACACGAGUGGCGAACGGGUGAGUAACACGUGGGUGAUCUACCCUGCACUUCGGGAUAAGCCUGGGAAACUGGGUCUAAUACCGGAUAGGACCACUGCCUGCAUGGGUGGUGGUGGAAAGCUUUUGCGGUGUGGGAUGGGCCCGCGGCCUAUCAGCUUGUUGGUGGGGUGAUGGCCUACCAAGGCGACGACGGGUAGCCGGCCUGAGAGGGUGACCGGCCACACUGGGACUGAGAUACGGCCCAGACUCCUACGGGAGGCAGCAGUGGGGAAUAUUGCACAAUGGGCGCAAGCCUGAUGCAGCGACGCCGCGUGAGGGAUGGCGGCCUUCGGGUUGUAAACCUCUUUCAGCACCGACGAAGCGCAAGUGACGGUAGGUGCAGAAGAAGGACCGGCCAACUACGUGCCAGCCGCCGCAGUAA
rnacentral:rRNA from 1 species